rnacentral:lncRNA from 1 species
CUCCACCCCCUCCAUAAUCCCAUCCCCUUCAUCUCCCCCACGUCUCCUCAUAUCUCUUUGUAUGAUUUUCGUCCCCAUUUAACUCUUACCCUAGUAGUAUCUGCCUACAUCUAUCAUGAUAUAUCAUUUCUCUUUUUUUCCUCCUCUCUCUCUCUCCCUCUUAAACACACAAUCCAAAAUGUUUGAUUUUCUUCGAGGCCUUUUUUUUUUAAUAGCUUAACAACUUUAAGAGACUAAAACUGUAAUAAUGUUUCAUUUUAAGACCUAAUGCCAUUUCUCGUGCCUCUUUUGCUUCGGUACAAAUCCCAUACCGGAUCUCAUUGUGUUUAUGUAGUAGUGGUUUCUUUUUAAUUUUAUGAAGAACAUUUAAAUAUAUUUUGUUUAUGUUUCUUUAAUUUUUGAGAGGUUAAGUACUCAAUUUGACAUUUCUUGCUCUUAAUUCUUGUGGUUAUUUGCAGCCAAAGAGGAAUUGGGAAUAUCUGUUGUGUUAAAUCGAGUAAGUAUUUUAUUUACAAGUACUUAUUUCUUAUUCUAUUGUUUGCUUCACUAAUUAAUAAUUAAUUUAUGACUAACGUUUAAUAUUUUUUUCUAAAUUAUGAUAUCAAAAAGUACGGCUAAAAUUAUGUAACUUUUUUUCACAGGUUCAUGAACGCGGAAGUUAAUGAAGAGUAAAUUUAAAAUAGAUAAGUGGUUACAUUAGAAUUAUUCUUGUAAUUCCGAUUAGAUUUUCAUGUUGGAUAGAUUUUACUUUAUUUAUGUAUUUUAAUUUACGGAGUUUGUAAUGAGAUAUUAUCUCAAUAUAGUAUUAGUUGCUUAGAAUUAUAUGAUCGUGGAU